UACGUAGGCAGCGAGCGUUGUUCGGAAUUACUGGGCGUAAAGAGUGUGUAGGCGGUGCUCCCAGUCUGUUGUGAAAUCUCCCGGCUUAACUGGGAGGGUGCAGCGGAAACUAGAGUGCUAGAGGGUGGGAGAGGUAAGCGGAAUUCCUGGUGUAGCGGUGAAAUGCGUAGAGAUCAGGAGGAACACCCGUAGCGAAGGCGGCACUCUGGGCCGAUACUGACGCUGAGGAGCGAAAGCGUGGGGAGCGAACAGG
rnacentral:rRNA from 1 species